rnacentral:ribozyme from 1 species
GGUGAGUGGCUCCCUUCGGGGAGUUAAACCGCAGAGCAGGUCACAAGCCCUG